rnacentral:rRNA from 1 species
AUAAGAGGUCCCGCCUGCCCUGUGACUUGUUAGUUUAACGGCCGCGGUAUUUUGACCGUGCGAAGGUAGCGUAAUCACUUGUCUUUUAAAUGGAGACCAGUAUGAAUGGCAUAACGAGGGCCAAGCUGUCUCCUUUUUCCAGUCAAUGAAAUUGAUCCCCCCGUGCAGAAGCGGGGAUACGUACAUAAGACGAGAAGACCCUAUGGAGCUUUAGACAAAAGACAGCCCAUGUUAAAACCCCAGAUUAAUGAAAACAACAAAAUGGUGUCUGUCCUUCUGUCUUUGGUUGGGGCGACCGCGGGGAAACAAAAAACCCCCAUGUGGAAUGGGAAUAAUUCCCUUAAAGCCAGAGCCACAGCUCUCACUAACAGAACAUCUGACCAAAAAGAUCCGGCUAAGCCGAUCAACGGACCAAGUUACCCUAGGGAUAACAGCGCAAUCCCCUUUUAGAGCCCAUAUCGACAAGGGGGUUUACGACCUCGAUGUUGGAUCAGGACCCCCUAAUGGUGCAGCCGCUAUUAAGGGUUCGUUUGUUCAACGAUUAAAGUCCUACGUGAUC